AUUUUGUCAAAUUUGACUUAAAUAAAAUGUGACACAAUUAUGACAUAUUUGACAAAUUUGAUUCAUUUUAACAGAUUUGACUUAAAAUUGUCAGAAUUUUGACAAAAU
rnacentral:miRNA from 1 species